UAUUCUGCCCCAUGGGGAAGGAUGAGAAGCUUCGACUAAGGUUCGACUCGAGCGCAGCGAGAGAACGUUGCCGCAGGCAACGGCCCGAAGGGCGAGGCGCUUUAGCGCCGAGUAAUCCUUCCCCCACCACCA
rnacentral:sRNA from 4 species